rnacentral:tRNA from 1 species
GGGGUUGUGACUCAGCGGUAGAGUGCUCACCUAUAGUGUGUGAGGCCCUGGGUUUGAUCCUCAACACCACA